GAGGAAUGAUGACAUAGAGAACGGUUUCGCACACUGGACUGAAGUCUUGUGAUGUUACUUUCUCUUGGCUGUCUGACCAA